rfam:Oryza glumipatula chromosome 3, whole genome shotgun sequence.
CCAAUGUAUAAUACUCCCUCCGUUUCAUUUUAAGCGCUCCAUCUUAUUUGGAAUUUUGUAUGAUUAGUAUUUUUAUUAUUGUUGUUAGAUAAUAAAAUAUGAAUAGGAACUUUAUACGUGACUAAUGUUUUUAAUUUUUUUAAAAAAAUUUCAAAUAAAACGAAUGAUUUAAGUUGAACACGGAAACUCAUGACUGCGUUUAAU